rnacentral:misc_RNA from 1 species
GGAAAUCCAUAUUCAUCAAAUAGACGCAUCAAGUCUCCAAACUGCCCAUGAAGAUCACCAAAAAGUUUAACUGGAGCUUUCAAUUGAAGAACUGUGGGCUCAUGCAUAAAGAUCUGUUCAGCUGCAUAGCAAAGCUCGCCAACUUCAUAAGAAUCCAGGAAAAACCUCCGAUUAGCAGGAGCUUUCCAAUUCCGAGGCCUAAGCAAUGUAGAAAUUAUCUUCUUAUGCAAGCCCUGAGGAGACUUUUGCCUGGUGAACUUUUUGGCAGCAUAUGGUGUGUCACUAUUCAUAGGUACCAUCCGUCUGCUUUCAUUUUCAAAUUGAUCUAGUG